AUGCACGACCCCAGCGCCGCCUCGUUCCCCUGCAGGAGCCACGCCUGUCCAUUGCUGCUCGUCUUCAUCGAGCCGACCAAGUCCAAGGAAACGCCAUGGCCGCCCCUCUCCUCCUCACGGGUCCUGGACCCCUGCGCCCUGUCACCGGCGUCCAGCGCCGCCAUAGAUUCGCGCCAAGCGUUCCUCACCGCCGCCCCGUUUCUGCCGUUGCUGCCUGCGUCCUCUGCUUCUACCAGGACGCCGCCGCCUUGGCCUCCAGCUCCGCCCGGCCGCUUGCCUUCCUCGCCGGUUGGAGCAGCCACUGCAUUGCCUGGAGUCGCCGCGGCCAAGUCCCUCGAUCCCCGACCGGAGCCCACCUCCUUGCUGUUCCUGGCACCGUCACGCACCUACUCCCGCUGCUUCGAGGAUGAGGACGAACAGCGACCAGUGCCCGCGUUGACUUCCUCCGUUUUGACCGAGCGGCCUCGCUACCCGCCUGGGCUGCCUCCCUUCCAGCGCCAAGGCACAGCGCUCGGCCUCCCGGCCCAGGCGCUUCCUUCCCCUGCCAGCCUCUGCAAUAGCCGGCCUGCUAAGGCCCAAUGUGAGCAGCUCCCCAGCUCUGUUCCAGAUCCGGCCCGUAUCCUGUUUUUUUACAUAGAACGUUUUUGUAUUUUCCAGAGUCGGCAGUUUUUACAGAAAAACCCUCAACAUCAUGCAUAUAAUAAUUCUAGAACCGUGCAUCGGAUUAAAAUGUUUUAA
rnacentral:rRNA from 1 species